CCGGAAGCACCGCCGCAGUGGGGACCCGAGGGGCUCACAGGGAACAGGAGACGACGCCACCGCUCGGUCUCCGGCACCUGAACGCCGACCUGGAGCGCUCCAGGGGUACCGCCAAGGGCCAGGCGGGACGCACUCCGGCACCGAGGGACGCACGCCGCCGCCGUGGCCCCAGCCAAACCCCACCGCGGGGAGCGCUUCUCGCGAGACGCGCUGAGGCGGCGAAGCGAGAGUGGCAGAGGACGCCGGCCCGCCCAGGCCCUGAGGCUGGGGUCGGGAGACCGGGGGUCGGGCCGGACGCCGCACCCCUGCCUUCCGACACCACCGACCGGCGCGGAGGAGAGGCGAGGGGCGCCGGGCAGAACGAGAAGGGCGGCCCAGUUCGCCAUGAACGUCUGUCCAUCGUCUGGCGCGGCCUAGGCCCGGCCCGGGCGAGCCGGACGUCACCACAUCCAUCGAUCGACCUCAAAGAUAGAGUCAUCUCCGGUGGAACUGAAGAUAGGAAAGAAGAUCAAAGGAAGAAGAGGACUUCAGGAAAAGCCAGUAAAGAGUGCUGAGAGGAGAAGACUGAGGCACAGAGGUGGAAUCCUUCACCUGCAGUCACACAGCUGACUUGUGAUCUCCAUACCAAGCACUCCAGAUACUACUCAGUCAAAUUUCCAUCUUCAGCAUCAGCCAUCUGCUUUCUUACCUGCAUCUUUUAAUAUGAUUCAAUGGCAAGAAAAGUAAAAUUCAGAAAACAAAGAAAAUUCAGUGCCUGCUGUGGAGACCACCACAUACUCUGGGUUACAAGAUGGAGAGGCUCGUGCAGAAGACUGGGGAGAGACGGAUCCACUUCUCCAUUGUGUCUCCCCAGAAGCUUCCAGACCUGUGGCUUCUGUUGGAGAAGGCGGCUCCCUGAGCCUUGCUGGAGUCACUGUAGCUGUGGAGAGAAGUGAGCCAGGACCCAAGGCACGUGGUGCUGGUCUGGGGUGGCUCAGCCCCAGGUACCUCCAGCCAAAGCCACCUGUUCCCUUGCCUCUAGCUCCAUCCUUGGUUAUCAGGCUCUCAGUAGCCUCUGCCCUUCUCUCCACCCCCUCCGUGUACCCCACCCCCUGGUAGUACUAGGUUCCU